GAUCCUGGCUCAGGAUGAACGCUAGCGGCAGGCUUAACACAUGCAAGUCGAGGGGCAGCAUAAUGGAUAGCAAUAUCUAUGGUGGCGACGGCGCACGGGUGCGUAACGCGUAAGCAACCUACCUUUAACAGGGGGAUAACACUGAGAAAUUGGUACUAAUACCCCAUAAUAUCAUAUAAGGCAUCUUUAUGGUUGAAAAUUCCGAUGGUUAGAGAUGGGCAUGCGUUGUAUUAG
rnacentral:rRNA from 1 species